rnacentral:rRNA from 1 species
UACGGAGGGUGCAAGCGUUAUCCGGAUUCACUGGGUUUAAAGGGUGCGUAGGCGGGCAUUUAAGUCAGUGGUGAAAUACCUGAGCUUAACUUGGGAACUGCCAUUGAUACUAUUUGUCUUGAAUGUCGUGGAGGUUAGCGGAAUGUGUCAUGUAGCGGUGAAAUGCUUAGAUAUGACAUAGAACACCUAUUGCGAAGGCAGCUAACUACGCGAAUAUUGACGCUGAGGCACGAAAGCGUGGGGAUCAAACAGG